rnacentral:lncRNA from 1 species
AGAUCCAAACUCCCAACAGGAUUACGUGCUCAAAAAUCCAAGAGGCACCGCCAUCCGAAUCUCGAGAGCCAGACUCUCAACAGGAUUACUUUCUCAAAAAUCGAAGAGACGCUGCUCUCCGAAUCUCGAGAGCCAGACUCCCAACAAGAUUGUUUUCUCAAAAAUCGAAGAGGCACAUUUCUCUGAAUCUUGAAAGCUAGAUCCCCGACAUGAUUGCUUGUUCGAAAACC